rnacentral:rRNA from 1 species
CACGCCGUAAACGAUGGAUACUAGGUGUGGGGGGACUGACCCCUUCCGUGCCGGAGUUAACACAAUAAGUAUCCCACCUGGGGAGUACGGUCGCAAGAUUAAAACUCAAAGGAAUUGACGGGGGCCCGCACAAGCAGUGGAGUAUGUGGUUUAAUUCGACGCAACGCGAAGAACCUUACCAAGGCUUGACAUCCUGCUAACGAAGCAGAGAUGCAUUAGGUGCCCUUCGGGGAAAGCAGAGACAGGUGG